AGAAUCAACGCUGGCGGCGUGCCUAACACAUGCAAGUCGCACGAGAAAGGGGCUUCGGCCCUGAGUACAGUGGCGCACGGGUGAGUAACACGUGAAUCAUCUACCUUCGAGUGUGGAAUAACUGAGAGAAAUCUUAGCUAAUACCGCAUAAUACUUACGAGUCAAAGCAGCAAUGCGCUUGAAGAGGAGUUCGCGGCAGAUUAGUUAGUUGGCGGGGUAAUGGCCCACCAAGACGAUGAUCUGUA
rnacentral:rRNA from 1 species